rnacentral:rRNA from 1 species
AAAGAAACUAACAAGGAUUCCCCUAGUAACGGCGAGUGAAGAGGGAAGAGCCCAAGAUUGAAAGCUGGCGUCUUCGGCGUCCGCAUUGUAAUCUCAAGAAGUGUUUUCCGCUUCGGACCAAGCCUAAGUCCCUUGGAAAAGGGCAUCAUAGAGGGUGAUAAUCCCGUACAUGGCUUGGAGCGCCCGAAGCUUUGUGAUACGCUUUCUAAGAGUCGAGUUGUUUGGGAAUGCAGCUCAAAAUGGGUGGUAAAUGCCAUCUAAGGCUAAAUAUUGGGGAGAGACCGAUAGCGAACAAGUACAGUGAUGGAAAGAUGAAAAGAACUUUGAAAAGAGAGUUAAACAGUACGUGAAAUUGCCAAAAGGGAAGGGUAGGAGGUCAGAGAUGCGGCCUGGGAUUCAGCCUUGCUUUUGCUUGGUGUUUUUCCCAGAUUGCAGGCCAACGUCGGUUUUGGGCACUGGAGAAGGGUAGGAGGAACGUGGCACCUCUCGGGGUGUGUUAUAGCCUCCUACUGGAUACAGCGACCGAGACCGAGGACAGCAGCGUACUCGCAAGAGCGGGCCUUCGGGC